rnacentral:rRNA from 1 species
GAUGAACGCUGGCGGCGUGCCUAAUACAUGCAAGUCGAGCGAACGGACGAGAAGCUUGCUUCUCUGAUGUUAGCGGCGGACGGGUGAGUAACACGUGGAUAACCUACCUAUAAGACUGGGAUAACUUCGGGAAACCGGAGCUAAUACCGGAUAAUAUUUUGAACCGCAUGGUUCAGAAGUGAAAGACGGUCUUGCUGUCACUUAUAGAUGGAUCCGCGCUGCAUUAGCUAGUUGGUAAGGUAACGGCUUACCAAGGCAACGAUGCAUAGCCGACCUGAGAGGGUGAUCGGCCACACUGGAACUGAGACACGGUCCAGACUCCUACGGGAGGCAGCAGUAGGGAAUCUUCCGCAAUGGGCGAAAGCCUGACGGAGCAACGCCGCGUGAGUGAUGAAGGUCUUCGGAUCGUAAAACUCUGUUAUUAGGGAAGAACAUAUGUGUAAGUAACUGUGCACAUCUUGACGGUACCUAAUCAGAAAGCCACGGCUAACUACGUGCCAGCAGCCGCGGUAAUACGUAGGUGGCAAGCGUUAUCCGGAAUUAUUGGGCGUAAAGCGCGCGUAGGCGGUUUUUUAAGUCUGAUGUGAAAGCCCACGGCUCAACCGUGGAGGGUCAUUGGAAACUGGAAAACUUGAGUGCAGAAGAGGAAAGUGGAAUUCCAUGUGUAGCGGUGAAAUGCGCAGAGAUAUGGAGGAACACCAGUGGCGAAGGCGACUUUCUGGUCUGUAACUGACGCUGAUGUGCGAAAGCGUGGGGAUCAAACAGGAUUAGAUACCCUGGUAGUCCACGCCGUAAACGAUGAGUGCUAAGUGUUAGGGGGUUUCCGCCCCUUAGUGCUGCAGCUAACGCAUUAAGCACUCCGCCUGGGGAGUACGACCGCAAGGUUGAAACUCAAAGGAAUUGACGGGGACCCGCACAAGCGGUGGAGCAUGUGGUUUAAUUCGAAGCAACGCGAAGAACCUUACCAAAUCUUGACAUCCUUUGACAACUCUAGAGAUAGAGCCUUCCCCUUCGGGGGACAAAGUGACAGGUGGUGCAUGGUUGUCGUCAGCUCGUGUCGUGAGAUGUUGGGUUAAGUCCCGCAACGAGCGCAACCCUUAAGCUUAGUUGCCAUCAUUAAGUUGGGCACUCUAAGUUGACUGCCGGUGACAAACCGGAGGAAGGUGGGGAUGACGUCAAAUCAUCAUGCCCCUUAUGAUUUGGGCUACACACGUGCUACAAUGGACAAUACAAAGGGCAGCGAAACCGCGAGGUCAAGCAAAUCCCAUAAAGUUGUUCUCAGUUCGGAUUGUAGUCUGCAACUCGACUACAUGAAGCUGGAAUCGCUAGUAAUCGUAGAUCAGCAUGCUACGGUGAAUACGUUCCCGGGUCU